ACUUGCUGAAAGGAAAACACAACAGCAUCUCACUGAGAAGAUGGCCAGUGUUUGUUCACACAGUAACUGAAGAGUCAAGCUGGAAUGAAUGCUUCAAAACAUGGCAACACAAAAGGAGCUCUCCAGGUCAUGCAUUGCAAGGCAUCAAGGGGCCUGCAUCCACCACCCUGGGGAGGGCUGGAAGAGGAGGGCAAGGGAGGGCUGCACAGCAGGCCAGAACCGGGCUGUUCCUGGGUGAGGCCCCACUGCUGCACCUCCCCAUGCGCCACGUGUCUAUCAGCAUCAGGAGGUCAGUACUCCUCUACGGCAUCGAGACACACCUGGAGAAGAGCAGGGUCUGCAGACGUGGCACUGCUGCCCAGAUGAAUCCAACGCACCACGAGGGCAACAUGACACCCAUCACCAGCAGGGGCAGGGCCUGCGCCACACCGUCUGGGUGGCCUGGACAGCCCCUGGGCCUUGAUGGGUCACAGCUGGUCACCCCAGUGACGAGGGAGGCUGACCACAUCAUCUGCAAAGCCCCUUCUAGCUUUGUGGGUUUUUCCUUUAUUGAGGUGUAAGUGAUAAAUGGAAUCUGUCUAUACUGGCAGCACGUGGUAUUCUGUGCUUGUAUGCGUUAUGAACCAAUGGCCAUAGCCCAGCUCGCUGUCUGUCACCUCAAGUCAUAACCCUUUUAUUUUUGUAGUGAGAACAUUUAAGAUCUACUCUUAGCCAAUCUGAAGUGAAGGAUGUAUAAUUAUUAACUGCAGUCAUCAUGCUGUGUAGACAACCUCUAGAAUGGACUCCUCCUGCACUACAGAAACCUUUCACCCUCUGUCCAACAUCCCCCAACCUUCCAGCUUUACAUUUCUAUGACUUCAAGUUUACAAACCAUUUCUCCCUCACGCACACCAGAGAGUAAAUGCAGUGCAUCUGCCCUGAGAAGAUACACGUGUGUGCACGCGCCAGGCUGAGGAAGGCUGGCUGUCCCUGGCCCCGAGAAGUGGGCUCAGUCAGUUCAAAAAUUAAACUCUGCCUGAGGUUGACCUGAGAAAGCCCUGGGUUGAGUGCAUCCUGUUUCAGACUUUUCAGGCCUCAGUUGUAUCUAAAUGAUUCCCUUCAUUCUCACUAGAAGCACCUCUUCCUGACAGUGGGGUUCUGGCUGUUUGGGUGGGACAGAGGCUACCUGGUCCCGCCUCGGUCCCUGACCUCAGUCUGCUCACCCGCGAGCUUCUGAUUUGUAUUUUUCUUUUGUUCCCAAUAGGUUGAUAUAUGUGCUUGGCCACAGGGAGAGCUAGCUUCCUUCUGAUGUGUUGUGCCCUUCUAUAUUCCUGCUGCACACAAAGCACAGUGACCAUCUAUUUUUGGCUAGAAUGAGCUAAUUCCAUGAGUUUGGUUCUUGAAACUGCCUGACCUCUGUGGACAGUGGAGUGUAGGGAGAGGUGACUGGGGCACCCGUGCCUUGACACCCCACUUUCUUCUCCUGCUCCCCUAUAAUGCCCUUGCGAUGGAAGCAACUUCCUAGGACUUCAGAAUGGAAACUGCUGCAGGGCGCUUCUCGUGCCUCCCAGUGGGCAGCACGAGGAUGGACCACCAGUGAUGCACUCUAAGCCGCCUUCACCUCAUCAAGCACACUAUGCAUCCGCCAGACACGAGUGGGGCCUCAACACUGCUUGACAGUUUGUGAAGUGCUCUGACAUUCUGGACAUAAUCAUGAAGCUUUCAUGGACUGCACCACUGCACCGUGUUGUAGGCUAUGGAGCUGCACAGUCCAAGAGACAUCACUUCCCCAGCAGCCAGCAUGGUGCCGGCAGGCUCUCAGCAAACGUCUUUGUUCAUUACUGAUGAGUCUGACACAUUUGAUUCAAGUCUUAGCCUAUCCUUCCAUCUUUAUUGUCUAGCAUAUGGCAGAGAGCACAUAGAAAAGAGAAAAUGGCCAGGCUGGGUGGCUCACACCUAUAAUCCCAGCAACACAGGAGACUGAGGUGGGAGGAUCACCUGAGCCCAGGAGUUAAAGCCUGCAGUGAGCUAUGAUUGAACCACUGCCCUCCAGCCUGGGAGACAGAGCAAGACCCCAUCUCAAAAACAAAAACAAAACAAAACGAUAACGUGCAUGUAAAUUAAUCCCCAACUAAAAGUCUAACACUCUCACAAGAAUUAUGUCUUCCAGGUGCUUCAUUCUAAUUCCUAUUGAGAAAAAUUUCUGUAGCAGACAGGAGUUUACAAAUAUUCUGCUGUUAAAAUUACAAAGUUUAAAGGGAGUAUGAAGUGGUGGUAUGAAGGUAGUACAAAGAAAAAAAAUCCUGGAUUAGUAGAGUUAUAGAGUCUGGUGUGACAACUCGGCAUUUGGGAUUUCUGGCAGAGUCCAGUUUUACAGCCCUGUUAAUGGCUAUAACAAGAGGGUGUAGCAGAAAUGCCAGCACUUCUCAUCCAAACGAAAUCUCGAAAUGUGACAAGGCACAAAAGUCUUGCUGAACAUGUCAGAAAUCCUGCUGCGUUUUUUGCCACACCUCCUCCACUGAUUAGCUCAUGCUCUCUGCCAUUAUGAAAUCUCUCACACCUACACCGCAAUGGAAGGAAGAAACGAUGCUGCUGUCUGCUUCUCCUGCUUCAGGAUAGUCUCAGCUAUUGCAUGCGACUGUUAACGAUUCCCGUUUCUCUGUGGAAGCACUUCUGCUAACAGAAACUUGUGUUGCUAUUAUCAUUCUAUUUUACACAGAAAAAAAACAAGAGAUACAGAUGAGUUGACUGGCUUGCCCAAGAUCGGGGUCCAGCUUCGAUCACGGUCCAGCCUCGAGCCCAGUCUGCCUGGUCCCACGUCUGUGUUCCCAACUGCUCUGCCCUUCUCCAUGGGAGGCCCAUCCCCUCACUAUGUGCCUGGCAGCCAGACAGUUUGACUGGACAUAAAAUUUAUGGGGCAUCCUUUCUUCCUGGAGGAUCCCAUAAGUAAGGAUGACUCCACUAUCUGAAGAAUUUGAAGAAAUUUGAAGCCACCCUGAUCUCUUCCCUUGUGUGCAGUGAAGUGCUCCAGAGGCCUCAAGAUGCUACCUUACAGAAGACUGAACUCAGGAGCAGAGAUGAGGAAUAAUCCCCUCCAUCACAUCAGACACCAGGAGGGUAUGCCAAGGCUCACCCGUUCCCUUGCUCCACCUCCGAGAGGUGGUUUGGAGAAACACAGCCCUUCUCAAGACGGUUGCAAGGUAAGUUUAGUUGGUACAUGAGUGCAUAGCACAUUUUAAUUUUUAUAGUUAUGCAUUUAUUUUAUAUGUAUUAGACAACAAACG